rnacentral:rRNA from 1 species
GGAAUAUUGCACAAUGGACGAAAGUCUGAUGCAGCGACGCCGCGUGGGCGAAGAAGGUUUUCGGAUCGUAAAGCCCUUUUCUAGGUGACGAGAAAGGACGGUAGCCUAGGAAUAAGUGUCGGCUAACUACGUGCCAGCAGCCGCGGUAAAACGUAGGACGCGAACGUUAUCCGGAGUUACUGGGCGUAAAGCGCGUGCAGGCGGUUAAGUAAGUUACCUAUGAAAGCUUCCGGCUAAACUGGGAGAGGAUAGGUGAAACUGCGUAACUAGAGUGAGAAAGAGGCAAGUAGAAUUCCAGGUGUAGUGGUGAAAUGCGUAGAUAUCUGGAGGAAUACCAGUGGCGAAGGCGGCUUGCUGGUUCUCAACUGACGCUGAGACGCGAAAGCGUGGGUAGCGAACGGGAUUAGAAACCCGGGUAGUCC